rnacentral:ncRNA from 1 species
CAAAUGGCUCAUUAAAUCAAUUAUAGUUUCUUUGAUGGUACCCUACUACUCGAAUAACCAUAGUAAUGAGUACAAUCUAAAUCCCUUAAUGAGGAUCCAUUAGAGGGAAAGUUUGGUGCCAACAACUGCGGUAAUUCCAUCUCCAAUAUUGUAUAUUUAAGUUGUUGCAGUUAAAAAGCUCGUAGUUGGAUCUUGGGUCGUAAAGGUUGGUUUGCCUACUCGGUGUGCACCUGCCCUUCCGUCCCUUUUGUCAGCGGCGUGCUCCUGGCCUUAAUUAGUUGGGUCACGGUUCCAAUGUUGUUACUUUGAAAAACUUAGAGUGCUCAAAUCAAUCUUAUGCUCUGAAUACAUUAGCAUGGAAUGACAUGAUAGGAGCCUGGUCCUAUUGUGUUGGCCUUCAGGACCAGAGUAAUGAUUAAUAUGGACUAUCGAGGGCAUUCGUAUUUCAUUGUGAGAGGUGAAAUUCUUGGAUUUAUGAAAGACGAACCACUGCGAAAGCAUGUGCCAAGGAUGUUUUCAUUAAUCAAGAACAAAAGUUGGGGGCUCAAAGAUGAUUAGAUAUCGUCCUAGUCUCAACCAUAAAUGAUGUUAACCAAGGAUCGAUGGAUGUUUCUCUAAUGUUGCUCUAAGGACUCCGCCAACACCUUCUAAUAAAUCAAAGUUUUUGGGUUCCGGGGGGAGCAUGGUCGCAAGGAUGAAACUACAAGGUUGUAUUAAAAAAUCUCUUGGUCGCCCAACCUUAGCCAUGCCGUAUUAAAA